rnacentral:tRNA from 1 species
GUCCCUGUAGCGCAAUGGAUAGCGCAUUGGACUUCUAAUCCAAAGGUCGUGGGUUCAAAUUCCACCUGGGAUG